AUUGAACGCUGGCGGCAUGCCUUACACAUGCAAGUCGAACGGCAGCACGGGAGCAAUCCUGGUGGCGAGUGGCGAACGGGUGAGUAAUAUAUCGGAACGUGCCCAGUCGUGGGGAUAACGUAGCGAAAGCUACGCUAAUACCGCAUACGAUCUAUGGAUGAAAGCGGGGGAUCGCAAGACCUCGCGCGAUUGGAGCGGCCGAUAUCAGAUUAGGUAGUUGGUGAGGUAAAGGCUCACCAAGCCGACGAUCUGUAGCUGGUCUGAGAGGACGACCAGCCACACUGGGACUGAGACACGGCCCAGACUCCUACGGGAGGCAGCAGUGGGGAAUUUUGGACAAUGGGCGCAAGCCUGAUCCAGCAAUGCCGCGUGCAGGAUGAAGGCCUCGGUUGUAACGUGCUUUUGUACGGUAACGAAACGGUAGAGCUCUAAUACAGUUG
rnacentral:rRNA from 1 species